UGCUGCUUUGCUGACGAGUGGCGGACGGGUGAGUAAUGUCUGGGAAACUGCCUGAUGGAGGGGGAUAACUACUGGAAACGGUGGCUAAUACCGCAUAACGUCGCAAGACCAAAGAGGGGGACCUUCGGGCCUCUUGCCAUCAGAUGUGCCCAGAUGGGAUUAGCUUGUUGGUGAGGUAACGGCUCACCAAGGCGACGAUCCCUAGCUGGUCUGAGAGGAUGACCAGCCACACUGGAACUGAGACACGGUCCAGACUCCUACGGGAGGCAGCAGUGGGGAAUAUUGCACAAUGGGCGCAAGCCUGAUGCAGCCAUGCCGCGUGUAUGAAGAAGGCCUUCGGGUUGUAAAGUACUUUCAGCGGGGAGGAAGGUGUUGCGGUUAAUAACCGCAGCAAUUGACGUUACCCGCAGAAGAAGCACCGGCUAACUCCGUGCCAGCAGCCGCGGUAAUACGGAGGGUGCAAGCGUUAAUCGGAAUUACUGGGCGUAAAGCGCACGCAGGCGGUCUGUCAAGUCGGAUGUGAAAUCCCCGGGCUCAACCUGGGAACUGCAUUCGAAACUGGCAGGCUUGAGUCUUGUAGAGGGGGGUAGAAUUCCAGGUGUAGCGGUGAAAUGCGUAGAGAUCUGGAGGAAUACCGGUGGCGAAGGCGGCCCCCUGGACAAAGACUGACGCUCAGGUGCGAAAGCGAGGGGAGCAAACAGGAUUAGAUACCCUGGUAGUCCACGCCGUANACGAUGUCUACUUGGAGGUUGUGCCCUUGAGGCGUGGCUUCCGG
rnacentral:rRNA from 1 species